UCCGAGUUGACCCCGGCAGUCUCUUAUGAGUCCCCGGCAUUAUCCGCUGGCAACAUAAGACGAGGGUUGCGCUCGUUGCGGGACUUAACCCAACAUCUCACGACACGAGCUGACGACAGCCAUGCAGCAUCUGUGGUGCACCCUCGAAGGUCACACGUUUCCGUGCGCUUGCAGCACCAUGUCAAGUCCAGGUAAGGUUCUUCGCGUUGCAUCGAAUUAAGCCACAUACUCCACCGCUUGUGCAGGCCCCCGUCAAUUCCUUUGAGUUUUAGCCUUGCGGCCGUACUCCCCAGGCGGGGUGCUUAAUGCGUUAGCUGCGGCACGGAAGGCGUCGAUAGCCUCCCACACCUAGCGCCCAUCGUUUACGGCGUGGACUAC
rnacentral:misc_RNA from 1 species